GGGUUCACUCUCACAACCCAUACAGGCACCCAACAUUCUAGCCCUCCGUGUCGUCAACGGCAAAGCCAAACCCAUCAAACCCGCCGUCCAAACCAGCUGACCACAGCAGCAGCUCUCCAUCGGACGGCAGAGAGCAGCCGUUCGCCACUUGGAUUCAAACGCCCCGUCACUCUAACCGCUGCUGAAACUACCAAAUUACCCCUAGCCCGCUCCCUCAGCUUCCUGCUCCGUUGGAACGGACAGCCGCGGCAGUCCCCAGCCCCCCCGCUUCCUGCACCCUCGCUGCUAGGGUUUUCUCGCAAUCCAGCCCCUCUGUCAUGGCCAAGACGAAGCAAGGGAAGCGGGAUGUCGACGCCUAUACCAUCAAGGGCACCAACAAGGUGGUCCGAGUGGGGGACUGCGUGCUGAUGCGGCCAGCGGACACGGACAACCCGCCGUACGUGGCGCGGGUGGAGCGGAUGGAGUCGGACGGGCGCGGCAGCGUGAGGGUGCGGGUGCGCUGGUACUACCGCCCCGAGGAGGCCAAGGGCGGCCGACGCCCGUUCCACGGUGCCAAGGAGCUCUUCCUCUCCGACCACUUCGACACGCAGAGCGCCCACACCAUUGAGGGCAAGUGCAUCGUUCACUCCUUCAAGAGCUACACCAAGCUCGACAACGUUGGUCCGGAGGACUUCUACUGCCGAUUUGACUACAAGGCCGCCACCGGUGCAUUCACCCCCGACCGUGUCGCCGUAUAUUGCAAGUGUGAGAUGCCGUACAACCCGGAUGACCUCAUGGUGCAGUGUGAAGGAUGCAAGGACUGUUUCCUUUUGACUGCGAGGCGAAGUAUAAUUCAUCUGGAAUAUCUACUUUGGUCAGGAUUAGGACCAAACAAUGAAUGAUGAACAUGGGGUUCCUUAGAGCCUUAUGCUCCUGUGUUUGCUUGGUCCUUAUGUAAGAUAUAUAUGGUUCCAUCCGUCUUGUAUGGGAAUGACCAUUGAGCAAGCAAAAAAGAUAGAUCAUUACAUGUGCUCGGAUUGUGCUAAAGAAAAUGGUGCAAAGAGACCCUCAAAUUCAUACUCAGUUUCACCAAACUCAGAUUCUAAGUCAGUAUUGUUUUGAUUGGAAGUACCUUGUGGGCAACGUAAAACAUACCAUAAAGAUAUGAAGCCUUGCCAUUGUAAUCAUGUUGAAACUACAGCUAAUCAGUGAAGUUCUGGUAAACAUAUGCUAUCUGAUCAACAAGUGGCCUAAUCAUGUUUGCCGUAGUGCGAGGCCUAAAUUUUAGCCUUUUAACCUCGAUUGAAUCAAAGAGGCGCAAGAGAUAAAUGCUGCGGCAGAAGCACCCCUGGCAAAGGAGAUGCGGUAUUUAUGGUGUCAGCUCCUCAUUACUGGUGCAUAUUUGAGAUGUUGAUGUGUACACUGCGAGAGAAGAGCCAAGCCAAUUGUAGGGCAAAACCUAUUUGACUUAUCAUUCUUCUGUGUAUUCUGCCUAGACAUUAGUGUGAUGAGUAGGUGAGUUCCCCGUUGCGGCGUGUGCAUGAUCAGCUGCUGGAGGCGGGAUGUCGGGAAAUGCUAGAAUUAUGCUGACUCUUGUCGAUGUAAGUGUAUCGUGUGUGUGUGUUAACAUAUGCACUGGCUGGAAACGUUCCCAUGUGUGAAUGGAGGAUGCUGAUGAUAGCUUGACUGUUGUUUCAUAUUCAGUUAGAUGUUUGCGGAGAGUUGAAAUAA